UUAGCAUCUGUGAUCUGGUCUGAUCUCAGAGCAGCGGUGUUAGGAGACAAAGUCUUGUCCUGAACUCAAGCCUGGUCCUGGUGCCAAUCAGGAAAGAUUCACUGCGUCCCAUUCCUCCCACAAGCGACCUAAGAACAGGAAAAUAAGAUAAAAUGUGAUCAAACCGUACCUGAAGUAAAAAGGGUCCCUAGUCCAAUCUGGUUUCCAACUCACCCCAGAGCCGAGGAUGACCUCGAAUUCCUGAUUCUCCUGCCUCUGCCUUUGGAAUACCAGUAUUACAGGUUAUUCCAUUGAGCUUGAAAAAAUACAUACUUUCCAGUUCUUUGCUUAAAGUAUACUAUAGGUAAACCUUGUAUCUUUUCCCUGCUGGGCCUAGUCUGGAGAAGCGCCUCUUGCUCGGAAUAGAUGUUGCACGGCAAUGAACAGAGCAGAU